UUGACCUCGGAUCAGGUAGGGAUACCCGCUGAACUUAAGCAUAUCAAUAAGCGGAGGAAAAGAAACCAACAGGGAUUGCCCUAGUAACGGCGAGUGAAGCGGCAACAGCUCAAAUUUGAAAGCUAGCCUUCGGGUUCGCAUUGUAAUUUGUAGAGGAUACUUUGGGUAAAACGCCAGUCUAAGUUCCUUGGAACAGGACGUCAUAGAGGGUGAGAAUCCCGUAUGUGACUGGAAACGUUGACCUAUGUAAAGUUCCUUCGACGAGUCGAGUUGUUUGGGAAUGCAGCUCUAAAUGGGAGGUAAAUUUCUUCUAAAGCUAAAUAUUGGCGAGAGACCGAUAGCGCACAAGUAGAGUGAUCGAAAGAUGAAAAGCACUUUGGAAAGAGAGUUAAAAAGCACGUGAAAUUGUUGAAAGGGAAGCGCUUGCAAUCAGACUUGUUUAAACUGUUCGGCCGGUCUUCUGACCGGUUUACUCAGUUUGGACAGGCCAGCAUCAGUUUCGGCGGCCGGAUAAAGGCUCUGGGAAUGUGGCCUCCACUUCGGUGGAGGUGUUAUAGCCCAGUGUGUAAUACGGCCAGCCGGGACUGAGGUCCGCGCUUCGGCUAGGAUGCUGGCGUAAUGGUUGUAAGCGACCCGUCUUGAAACACGGACCAAGGAGUCUAACAUCUAUGCGAGUGUUCGGGUGUCAAACCCCUGCGCGUAAUGAAAGUGAACGGAGGUGAGAACCGCAAGGUGCAUCAUCGACCGAUCCUGAUGUCUUCGGAUGGAUUUGAGUAAGAGCAUAGCUGUUGGGACCCGAAAGAUGGUGAACUAUGCCUGAAUAGGGUGAAGCCAGAGGAAACUCUGGUGGAGGCUCGCAGCGGUUCUGACGUGCAAAUCGAUCGUCAAAUUUGGGUAUAGGGGCGAAAGACUAAUCGAACCAUCUAGUAGCU
rnacentral:rRNA from 1 species